rnacentral:lncRNA from 1 species
UCGGGGUGACCCUGUAUGAGCUGCUGACGCACUGUGACUCCAGCCAGAGCCCCCCCACGGUCUAUCAUCUCAUGAAGAACUGCUGGGAGACAGAGGCGUCCUUUCGCCCAACCUUCGAGAACCUCAUACCCAUUCUGAAGACAGUCCAUGAGAAGUACCAAGGCCAGGCCCCUUCAGUGUUCAGCGUGUGCUGAGGCACAAUGGCAGCCCUGCCUGGGAGGACUGGACCAGGCAGUGGCUGCAGAGGGAGCCUCCUGCUCCCUGCUCCAGGAUGAAACCAAGAGGGGGAUGUCAGCCUCACCCACACCGUGUGCCUUACUCCUGUCUAGAGACCCCACCUCUGUGAACUUAUUUUUCUUUCUUGGCCGUGAGCCUAACCAUGAUCUUGAGGGACCCAACAUUUGUAGGGGCACUAAUCCAGCCCUUAAAUCCCCCAGCUUCCAAACUUGAGGCCCACCAUCUCCACCAUCUGGUAAUAAACUCAUGUUUUCUCUG